GUCUAUUUAAAGCCAAAUUGCAGAUAACAUUUUUCCGUAUCUUCGCUCCUCUUCAUGCCACAUAUCUACACACUACAGCAGUUAUGUUUUGACUAAGUAACUGCCGAAGUGGAUCCCCAACAGAUGCACUUUCGGGCUUAUAUCGACCGGCCACUGCUAUAUAUGUACCCGGUUUUGCAUCUCUGAAGCUUGGCAUGCCAAACUGCCAAUAAUGUUGGUUCUGCCCCUGGAAGGACGGGAACCACUUUACUGUACGAGCUCUAAUGUUGAGACAGGUAGGUAUGUUCCUAUCAUGUGACGGAGUGUUUCCAGCUGCAGAUUCUUCAUUUUCUACCUCUUGAAGUAGCUGCCUAGUCAAGUUAGACCCAAGGUCUAGGCCCUUCUCAAUUCAUUAUUUGCCUUAUGUUUGGCGCACAUCAUAUGUUAUCCAUACUCCAAAUGUCCAAUCCUGGAUGUUCUGGGGUGUUGAGUUCCACGUUGGCUCUGGGAAGAGAAAUUGGAUCUUUUAUAUGGUCAUUGGCUAUCCUCACUUCUUCAUUACCUGAAAGAUAAAGUUUAAGUCCCUAAAACGUGGGGACUUUCAGUAUAGGGUAAAAAUAGCCAAUUUCACGUGGGCAUAUCAGAUCGUGACAUACGGAAAGAUGAUGGACGUGGCUCAAUGAACAGCUGGAAAGAGCUCAAUGGCAGACCAUACACCAACUUGUUUGAGAAAGUUACAAAAGAACAAUACUCCCGGAGGGAAGGUCAACGAGCCCUCACUAGCCAUUCUGUAACCAACAAUUGGGUGAUGUUGGGCGUAAUCUCUUUGUUAUUAAUGUCAUUUAAUUAGUCAUUUAUCAUGUUUUAUUCAGUGGUUAAUGCGACUCUCCAUCAACAGUCUUUUUUUCC